AAAAACAAACUGAAUUGGCUAUUGCUAGAAAAAGAGAGGUUUCAAUUCGCAUCAAAGUAAAUUUAAACGAUCAUUACGUUAGUGAAAUUUAGUAAACUACAUUGGAUUACGAUAAUUUACAAGUUUACAAGGACUUCAAGUUCUCCUGGGGCGAAAGGUCCGGUUCGACGUGAUUUGGUGGCUAACCUGAAAAGAGAGAAAAAAAAAAAUAAUUAGUAAUUAAAUCAAGUAAAGCAAAAAGAAGGAAACGUGAGGCAUAGAAGGAAAACGAUACGGUCGUAGUGUCCAAGAGGAAAAGGUUACUAAUUGUUUUUGAGCUGUCACAAAUUAAAAGGUGCUGCUACAAAAAAUUAGUUCGUUAUCUGAACAAUGGGAAAGCUCAUCAUACAACAAAUUACCAUGUUUAUUUGGCAUAUAAUACCGCAUAUAAUUCGCUAUGAAUAAAUAAUAAAAAGUAAAAACAAGGGGGAUCUUGGACUGCACUGCCCGAUCAGGAAAUCCAAGUCUCUUCUGGUCAACAGAUUUCAACGAACUAGAGAGACGCUACCGUAUCAACAGGACUAUGCCAGAAUAAUAAGGAGCCUAGAGGAAUUACCGCAUUUCAAGCUGAUCAUUGGUGAAGUGCUCAAGCUUCCAAGGCACAUAACAGAGGAAUCAACAUCUUUCAAAAUCUACCACCACAACCUAGACCCCGAAAAUAGAAUUGAAAGCUUGAUACAGAGGGAUUGGAACAGAGUAUGGAAAAACGUAAAUAACUAAGCUCUUUCACAGGAAGAGAAGAGCAUGUACUAACUACUACUAAAGCGGUCAGGGCAUUAUUGUUGUGCUCCAAAACCGUUGGAAGAAAGUGGGGCUUGAGACCGAAAAUGGUGAUGUGGAUACUCACAUCUAUUACAUCCAAAACUGACCUACGCUGCGUUAAUGUGGUGGCCAAAAACCAAAGAGUCCACCGCUAGAACAAAGCUAGACAAAGUUCAACGACUUGCGUGCAUUGCUAUAACAGGAGCAAUGAAAAACACCUUAUCAAAAGCUCUUGAUGCAAUUCUUCAUCUGCUGCCGUUGUACGAAUACGUGCAACUAGAAGCAGAAAAAAGUGCCUUGAGGCUCGAAAGAACAAAAACUAUCUUGUCAGGUGAUCUUGAGGGUCACCAGACUAUACUAAACUUUUUUAAAAAAGGGCCAGGGAUGAAUAUGAAUGGAGACUGGAUGGCACCUCAGGGCAAUCAUGAUAUUCCCUACAAGGUAUGCGAAACGUCGCGUACAGACUGAGAAGUCGGAGUUCCUGAUGUCCGUCCCGGUUCAACGUUAUUUUUCACAGAUGGCUCAAAAAUAGGUACAAAAACUGGUGCAGGAAUCUUCGGUCCUGGAAAUAAUGUUUCAGUGCCAAUGGGACACUGGCCAACAGUGUUUCAAGCAGAGAUUUUUGCAAUCCUUGAAUGUGCGAAUGUGUGUCUGACUAGAAAAUACAAACAUGCAAACAUUUGUAUUUUCUCUGACAGUCAAGCAGCGCUGAAAGCACUUGAUGCUUAUAAAUGUACAUCCAAGAUUGUCUGGGAAUGUAUUCUCACUUUGCGACAGCUAUGUCAAACAAACUCAGUAAAUUUGUAUUGCGUUCUAGGACAUUGUGACAAUGGUGGGAAUGAAAAGGCAGACGAACUCGCAAAACGAGGAUCUAACUCACAGUUAAUCGGCUCAGAACCUUUCUGCGGUAUAUCAAACUGUGCAGUGAAAAUGGAGCUUAAACGCUGGGCGGAACAAAAGGUGAUAACCAAUUGGGUCGAUGUCAAAAAGUGUUCCCAAUCUAAAAGAUUUAUAACACCAAUCGAGAAUCAUUCGAAAAAGCUCCUAGAGCUCAACAAAAGUGCUCUUUGUACAUACGUCAGCCUAGUAAUGGGGCACUGUCCGAGUAGAUAUCAUUUAAAGAAGAUUGGCCGGGUUCAGGAUGACAUCUGUCGCUUUUGUAAUAUGGAAAGCGAGACGUCGAAACAUCUGCUGUGCAGUUGUGGUGCAUUAUUUAAACGCAGAUUAAGGUUUCUUGGCAGUGGCUGUUUACAGCCCACAGAGAUAUGGUCUUUGAAUCCUGGGAAGGUGAUUGGCUUUAAAAACCAUAUUUCACCUGACUGGGAGCGUGUCGGUGCAGGUACCUGAUCACUCAACAAUAGUGGUCAUUGUAUUUUGCAAAAGGACACGUGUAGCAAUUGACUGGGAUAUAUUACAAAAGUUCACAUCAAUGGACAACGUAAUUCUAAUUCCCUAACAAAAAAACUUCUAUGCAACGAAAAGUUGAAUCAUAACUCUCUUAGAUUCAGAGAAAACAGAGCAGCAACAUCAGCAUGUGACUUAUGUAAUGACAAAGAAACAAUACAGCACAAAUAUCCGACGAGUCCAACCAUAGAACCAUUGUGUGAUCGUAUAGCAGUUACAUUUGUCCCUCUUGGGAUGCGGGAAGACCAAUUCUUCAAAUGGCUGCGAUUUUCGGAACUACAAGGAGUUAACAGACGUGUAAUUAAUAGAAUAUUGCUAUUAUUUGCUAGAUACAUAUUUUUUGUUAGUGAAACUCCUAUAGAUUGCCUUAAUGUACAAAAUUUAGUAAUCUAUAUGACUUGGUACAAUUAAUUUUAAUAAAGACAAAGAAGAUUUGAACAUAAAAGUAGGAGGGUGGUAUCCAAGACACGACCGCAAAGUUGACGUAGGACCACAUCAUAUUUUUGAAUUUGUUUGUUUUUUACCAACCAAUUUAAUCCUCCAACAGAUAGGUAUUUUGAUUCUCAGUACUAAAAAAUUACAGGAGGGUUGUGUGCAAAGCCACGACCGCAAGUAUGAAGUAGAAUACUUUUACAAGAAAACCCGGCUACUUGCGUGUCAGUCAUUUUUUAAUUUGUUGUUCAAUUCAAUAACGGAUAAGAUACCGAUCACAUCUUGGCGUUAUCACUGACAGUGCGAAUAAAGUAAUCCACGUGAUAAAAUGAACAAUGAAAAGCUGAUUUAACACUCAAAACUAGACGGCUCAUAUGUUGUAAAAAUGAGUCAACUUUUCAUUGAAUGCAUUUACUAGUGCCCGCUAUCGCACAGAGACUGCAUUUCACUAAAGUGCCUCACCGCAUCAGCUGCUAUCGAUACUAAACCCGCUGCAACUGCUACGCUAUCCGUAGCCAUGCUAAUGUUUUGGCCGUUAUACGCUGCUAUUGGUAUCCGCUGGCCUAGCUGCUAUCGAUGCUGAGAUCCGCUGCAACUAGUGCACUAUCCAUUGCCAUGCCACAGCUGUGGCCGCUAUCCGCCUGGUAUCCCCUGCACUGCUACUGCUAAGGAAAGACUGCUGUUGUCACUGUCUAGAACUAUUAUGAGCGGCUUCGCCUGAAACAGGCUCUUAUAUAGGAAUGAAAAACCUAUCGAUAGUAGUAGGAAAUCAUCGAUAACUAUCUAUAGCCAUUUUAGUCGAUAAUUCCCAUCCUUACUCUUAUACAGACAAAUAGCAAAUUUAAAAUGGCAAGGUCUAUGAUUCUGUCGACCGUGCUUGGGAAGCAAUCAUAUUAACGACGCGCUUCAACAAGGAUUGACCAUUCUCAAUAAUAUAGUUGCUUGUCAUGAUUUAGACUUGAUAAUUUUUGAAUUUUGA